GACGAACGCUGGCGGCGUGCCUAAUACAUGCAAGUAGAACGCUGAAGAGAGGAGCUUGCUCUUCUUGGAUGAGUUGCGAACGGGUGAGUAACGCGUAGGUAACCUGCCUUGUAGCGGGGGAUAACUAUUGGAAACGAUAGCUAAUACCGCAUAACAAUGGAUGACACAUGUCAUUUAUUUGGAAGGGGCAAUUGUUCCACUACAAGAUGGACCUGCGUUGUAUUAGCUAGUAGGUGAGGUAAUGGCUCACCUAGGCGACGAUACAUAGCCGACCUGAGAGGGUGAUCGGCCACACUGGGACUGAGACACGGCCCAGACUCCUACGGGAGGCAGCAGUAGGGAAUCUUCGGCAAUGGGGGCAACCCUGACCGAGCAACGCCGCGUGAGUGAAGAAGGUUUUCGGAUCGUAAAGCUCUGUUGUAAGUCAAGAACGGGUGUGAGAGUGGAAAGUUCACACUGUGACGGUAGCUUACCAGAAAGGGACGGCUAACUACGUG
rnacentral:rRNA from 1 species